UUAAGUUCAGCGGGUAGUCCUACCUGAUUUGAGGUCAAAAUGGUCAAAGUGCUUUCUUCCAAGUCAAUGGAAAAAGUAGCAAGUAAGGCAUAGACAUUAAUAGCCAGCUAGCCACGGUGAUCAUUAUCACACCGAAAGGCCGACCUGAUACCAACCUCCAUUACAGAGGCCAGCACACACCUCCAUUACAGAGGCAUGCA
rnacentral:misc_RNA from 1 species